UACGUAGGUGGCGAGCGUUGUCCGGAAUUACUGGGUGUAAAGGGCGUGUAGGCGGGAUUGCAAGUCAGAUGUGAAAUUCCGAGGCUUAACCUCGGCGCUGCAUCUGAAACUGUAAUUCUUGAGUGCUGGAGAGGAUAGUGGAAUUCCUAGUGUAGCGGUGAAAUGCGUAGAUAUUAGGAGGAACACCAGUGGCGAAGGCGGCUAUCUGGACAGUAACUGACGCUGAGGCGCGAAAGCGUGGGGAG
rnacentral:rRNA from 1 species